rnacentral:rRNA from 1 species
UAUACUAACAAAUUAUAUAAUUCAAAAUUACAAAUAUAAGAAAUCUUAAAAUAUUAUUAAAUAUAGUAAUAGAAAUUUUAAAUAAUAAAAAGUAAGUAUAU